rnacentral:rRNA from 1 species
AUUGAACGCUGGCGGCAGGCCUAACACAUGCAAGUCGAACGGUAACAGGAAGAAGCUUGCUUCUUUGCUGACGAGUGGCGGACGGGUGAGUAAUGUCUGGGAAACUGCCUGAUGGAGGGGGAUAACUACUGGAAACGGUAGUUAAUACCGCAUAACGUCGCAAGACCAAAGAGGGGGACCUUCGGGCCUCUUGCCAUCGGAUGUGCCCAGAUGGGAUUAGCUAGUAGGUGGGGUAACGGCUCACCUAGGCGACGAUCCCUAGCUGGUCUGAGAGGAUGACCAGCCACACUGGAACUGAGACACGGUCCAGACUCCUACGGGAGGCAGCAGUGGGGAAUAUUGCACAAUGGGCGCAAGCCUGAUGCAGCCAUGCCGCGUGUAUGAAGAAGGCCUUCGGGUUGUAAAGUACUUUCAGCGGGGAGGAAGGGAGUAAAGUUAAUACCUUUGCUCAUUGACGUUACCCGCAGAAGAAGCUCCGGCUAACUCCGUG